AAAUAAACUUUAAUCACUAUCUUCUGAUCUCGUUGAUGAUACAUCACUAUCAAUAUCUUCUAAUUCUUCUUCAUUCUCUUGAAAGAAUUCUUUUUGUCUAUAUCCGGCUCUGGUCCAAUCGUCAGAUAUGCUUGAGCUUCAAGAGAAUCUGGACUCAUUCUUGAUCGAGUUUUAUCUAGUAUUUGACCUCCCAUGCUAAAAGCUCGCUCGACGGAAACUGUAGAAACGGGUGAAGAAAAAACGUCUUUUGCGAUCAUGGUUAAAUUGGAUAUUAAGAUUGGUGACUCUUCCACCAAUGAAUGUUUUGAAAGUUAUUACCUGCAUCUGCAUCACUAAACUCAAAAUUAGUAGAUAAAUAUUUUUCAAGUUUUGCAUUAUUAUCUUGUGAUGGUCAUUGCGUUUUACGUCGCCGCAUUCUUUCUGCAAGACUUAACGUAGAAGUUUAUGACAUAUCAUUUUGUAGAGAUGAUUCAGUUCCUUGUGGUACCAAAUGCUCAUAUAAUCUAUAAUAUUCAUCAUACAAAUUUUCUAUGUCUUUUCUUGAGUU
rnacentral:sRNA from 1 species